GGUACCAUGUGGCUCAGUUGGUAGAGCAUGACACUAGCAAUGCCAGGGUUGUGGGUUCAAUUCCCACUGGGGGACCA